rnacentral:rRNA from 1 species
GACGAACGCUGGCGGCGUGCCUAAUACAUGCAAGUAGAACGCUGAAGAGAGGAGCUUGCUCUUCUUGGAUGAGUUGCGAACGGGUGAGUAACGCGUAGGUAACCUGCCUGGUAGCGGGGGAUAACUAUUGGAAACGAUAGCUAAUACCGCAUAAAAUGGAUUAUCGCAUGAUAAUCAAUUGAAAGGUGCAAAUGCAUCACUACCAGAUGGACCUGCGUUGUAUUAGCUAGUUGGUGGGGUAACGGCUCACCAAGGCGACGAUACAUAGCCGACCUGAGAGGGUGAUCGGCCACACUGGGACUGAGACACGGCCCAGACUCCUACGGGAGGCAGCAGUAGGGAAUCUUCGGCAAUGGACGGAAGUCUGACCGAGCAACGCCGCGUGAGUGAAGAAGGUUUUCGGAUCGUAAAGCUCUGUUGUAAGAGAAGAACGAGUGUGAGAGUGGAA